rnacentral:rRNA from 1 species
AACGAACGCUGGCGGCAUGCCUAACACAUGCAAGUCGAACGAUACCUUCGGGUCUUGUGGCGCACGGGUGCGGAACGCGUGGGAACCUGCCCUUAGGUUCGGAAUAACUCCCCGCAAGGGGUGCUAAUACCGGAUAAUGUCUUCGGCCCAAAGAUUUAUCGCCUUUGGAUGUGCCCGCGUUGGAUUAGCUAGUUGGUAAGGUAAAAGCCUACCAAGGCGACGAUCCAUAGCUGGUCUGAGAGGGUGAUCGGCCACACUGGGACUGAGACACGGCCCAGACGCCUACGGGAGGCAGCAGUAGGGAAGCUUCGGCAAUGGACGGAAGUCGGACGGGGCAAAGCCGCGGGAGUGAAGAAGGGUUUCGGAUCGUAAAGCGCUGUUGUAAGAGAAGAACGAGUGUGAGAGUGGAAAGUGCACACUGUGACGGUAUCUUACCAGAAAGGGACGGCUAACUACGUG